GGAGGGCAAGGAUGAUGAUUCAAUUAGAUGUGUGAAAGGAGAAUUCCUUUUUGAACUCAAAAUUUUGAGGCAUAUCCAUUCGUAUACCUGACUUGCUACUA